GAGAAGGAAAGUAAACUUCAGUGCGAGGAACAUCAGGAAGAACUGAAGCUGUUUUGUGAAACUGACAAGAAGCUGAUCUGUGUGUUUUGUGCAGCUGGGCGGGAACACAAGUCUCACAGCUUCACGCUGAUAGCAGAAGCUGCAGAAACCUACAAGGAUCAGGUGAAAUCUUCCAUCCAGUCUCUCACAAA